rnacentral:tRNA from 1 species
UUGAGGUGUCGUCAAGCGGUAAGACAGUAGUUUUUGGUACUACUAUGCGUUGGUUCGAAUCCAGCCACCUCAGA